ensembl:lncRNA
GAGCUGGCACUGAUGUUUGGAGAGGAUAAUGCUAUAGCUUUUCUGGCUUCCCAUGCUCUGAUGUGAAAAACUCUGAUCACAGGGCCAGGUCACUGUUGUCAUUCAUUACACUAAGAGAGGUUUGCUAACAGAGCACAGAUUUGUUGUUGUAGCAGAAAUGCUGAGUCAGGGCCUGAAGCAGUGAUGGAGCACCUGGUGGGAAGGCAGGGCCAAUCCAGGGCAGCUCAGGUGCAUGCAAUGUACCUGAGUGAUGAAGGGGUGGAGCCAGGAUCCUCCCCUUCCCAGACCUCAUUUAAGGGCUCACAGCCCAUGUGGGGAGGAGGGUUUUUGCUGGAUAUCCCUGUCUAUCUGAGGCCUUCUGAAGGGAGAGGCAGAGCUGUGUGAUAACACACCUGAAGCUGUGAUAGGAGAAGUGAAGAAAUACAGGACAAGAGGGGUAACAACUGCCACAGAUCCUGUUGGUUUGGAUUAAUCAUGAUUGUAUACUCGCUGAAGUGUUUUCAGAUACUGGCAAAGUUGGGAGUCUGUCAAGUGCCAACAGAUGGGAACAAGCCUGCUUCCACUAAUAGUUCUUCCCAAACUGCUGAUGUUAUAGCUGGAAGAGAGCUUUAGUCUUCAAGAAGAAAGGCAAAGGAGAAAGCGGAGGCUGCUUCUAUUUCUGUUUGUGUAAUGCUGUCUGACUCUUGUCAAGGAAAAACACAACAAAAAACCAACACAUUUUUCCUGCAGAAGUUUGGGGGGGUGGGAAGGGGAGGAGAACCAUUUUUUUUUCCACUAGUUCUAUUCAAUCAAUUUGUAGACCUACAGAGUAAUUAAGCUAAUUACACAUGUUCAGCCAUCUAGCUGCUUCCCUAUGGGGCCCAUGGUGAAACCAGGCCUGCCAAUUUGAAAGGUCCAUUCUGUGCAAAGGGCCAGUGGUGUUAGACCAGUACUCCCACCUUGAUGUCUGGGGGAGAUCCUCUGUCUCUAAUAAAUAAGUAUUAGCAUUAAAUUCUUCAGAAUACUGAGAGCUGGAGGUCCAUCUUUGUGUGUAUGGGUG